AGAGAAUGCUUACCAUGAUGUCUGGCUCAGAAUAAGUAAUCAGACACUAAAGGAAGUUAAUCAGUGUCCCCCAAUUCCCAGAGAUAGUGAGCAGAAACACCUAGUCCAGAUUGUCUAAUGAAGAGUAAGGAACAUCAUUAUUAGAGUAGAAGAAAUUGAGAGGGAGGAAGAACA